rnacentral:rRNA from 1 species
AGGAAUUGACGGAAGGGCACCACCAGGAGUGGAGCCUGCGGCUUAAUUUGACUCAACACGGGAAAACUCACCCGGGCCGGACACUGUGAGGAUUGACAGAUUGAUAGCUCUUUCUUGAUUUGGUGGUUGGUGGUGCAUGGCCGUUCUUAGUUGGUGGAGCGAUUUGUCUGGUUAAUUCCGAUAACGAACGAGACUCCAGCCUGCUAAUUAGUGCAUUUGUCCACUGCACCAGCCGAGCGGCGCAGUGUCAACUGCUCUGGCUCAGUGCAGGAACCGGCGCGUUUGUGCAUCCUGCGUGGUCGCACUGCCUCGUGUGGUGUGGCUGUGUGGGGCUAUGCGCGGCGUGUUAGGCCUGCAUGUUGUGCCUGGGGCGGAUGGCACCACGUUAGCUAGCAGGUGCGGCGCGAAUGCUUACUUCUUAGAGGGACACGCGGGAGAAGCCGCMCGAAAUARAGCAAUAACAGGUCUGUGAUGCCCUUAGAUGUCCGGGGCCGCACGCGCGCUACAAUGGCGGUGUCAACGAGUCAGACCUUCUGGCCUGAAAAGGUUGGGCAAACUGGUCAAUCACCGUCAUGACAGGGAUCGGGGCUUGGAAUUGUUCCCCGUGAACGAGGAAUUCCUAGUAAGUGCAAGUCAUAAGCUUGCGCUGAUUACGUCCCUGCCCUUUGUACACACCGCCCGUCGCUACUACCGAUUGAAUGGUUUAGUAAGGUCCUUGGAUUGGUGCCAUUUAGGUUCCGCCGAAAGGUGCGUAUCUAGCCGGCGCCGAGAAGACGACCAAACUUGAUCAUUUAGAGGAAGUAAAAGUCGUAACAAGGUUUC